rnacentral:lncRNA from 12 species
AUCCCUCUCAAGGAAGGACUUGGCCAAUGUGUGCAGCGGGAGUCUCGGAGUUGGUGGAAGAGAUAAGCACGUUUUUUUUUUUUUUUUUUUUUACCUUUUUUGGAGACUUUCCUAGAAGGGGGAGAGGUAAGGGAAUAAAGCCUGCACGUUUAGACCUUGGUUCGCCUUGCACCACUCCUCCCAAACAAAAUGAAGGAACUAGGAGGGAAAUCGAGCAGAGGUGCUGUGAAUCCUGUUGCGAAGGAGAGGCCAAGGUCAUAGGCAACUGCCUGGGAAGAAGCUUCAGGUCUGUCCCCUGUCAUGAAGCCCACACUCAAAUCCAACUCUUUUCCUAAAGGGUAACAAAGUGAAUUUAUCUACAUCUAUUUUCUUGAUGGAUGUUUAGGUAGAGAUACUUGAGCUAAGCAGGCACUGGGGGUAAUGAAAAUCACAGGGAACAGACCAUGUCUUCAGGGGCUCACAGUUUGGUGUGGAAGCAGAGAAUACACCUAAGAUACAAACUAUAAGGAUAGUUACAACUGCAUAUAAUAUGCAGCAUUUUACAGAAGAAAGGGGUGGACUAAAGAGUAGGGGGGAAAAAUGAAAGAUGCCCUCUUGAUGUGUGCCUUUCAACAUAAAAUCAGUCAUUGCUUUCUUCACUCACUGGACCUUGGGGAGGUCUUUUGGGAAACUCUCAGCCUUCCUUCCAUCCACUAUUACAUACUUUGGGGAUUUUACUGACUUAGAGGCAUAUUCCAACUCCAAGUUUCCAUGUGGAUGUUAACUUUAAAAAUGUAUCCCUUGGUAGUGAGGAACAAGAAAAAGAGAAGUAGGGCCCCACGAGGAAAAGUGAGGAAAGCGGGCGCUGGUAGGAGCUUACAUCUGGUAGUUGACAUCAAAGAUCUACAAAUUAGUAGGUGUCUGCUUUGUUGACUUUUCUAUUCUUAACUUAAUAGUUUAUUUAACUGCAUCCCUUCGAGGCUGUUAAACAUAUCAAAGGGAAAUGUGUACGCAAGCUUUGAGGGAGAAAAGAAAUGCUGAGCAACAGAAACUAAAGAGGACCCCAAAGAGGCCCCCAUCCGCUAAAUGAGCAAACAAGGUACAGAAGCAAAGUGUCAGCACAGCCUCAGCCCCGCUGCUUCGAUGACAGAGAAUAGAGUGAAACAAAAGGGGCAGAUCAGAAACACAUGCACAAGACGGAGGAUGAUUCUUAACAACCUAUGCCAGACAACAUAUUAAGAGUGAGAACAUGGCAUGUGGAGCGCUGUAACUUUAGUAGGAGCUCUCCAUGAAGUCUCCCGGGUGGGGGUGGGGGUGGGGGGGGGGGAAAUGGAAGGUCUGGGCACCAGCCCUGAG